rnacentral:rRNA from 1 species
CGGAGGAAAAGAAACCAACGGCGAGUGAAGCGGCAAAAGCUCAAAUUUGAAAUCUGGCACUUUCAGUGUCCGAGUUGUAAUUUGAAGAAGGUAUCUUUGGGUCUGGCUCUUGUCUAUGUUUCUUGGAACAGAACGUCACAGAGGGUGAGAAUCCCGUGCGAUGAGAUGUCCCAGACCUAUGUAAAGUUCCUUCGAAGAGUCGAGUUGUUUGGGAAUGCAGCUCUAAGUGGGUGGUAAAUUCCAUCUAAAGCUAAAUAUUGGCGAGAGACCGAUAGCGAACAAGUACAGUGAUGGAAAGAUGAAAAGAACUUUGAAAAGAGAGUGAAAAAGUACGUGAAAUUGUUGAAAGGGAAGGGCUUGAGAUCAGACUUGGUAUUUUGUAUGUUACUCUCUCGGGGGUGGCCUCUACAGUUUACCGGGCCAGCAUCAGUUUGAGCGGUAGGAUAAGUGCAAAGAAAUGUGGCACUGCUUCGGUAGUGUGUUAUAGUCUUUGUCGAUACUGCCAGCUUAGACUGAGGACUGCGGCUUCGGCCGAUCUUAAGUCGCCCGUCUUGAA